AGUGCAUAAAAAGACUUUUUUAGGCACUAGUGCGUAAAAAGUGAAACUUUAUAAACUUUGCGAUGUAUGUAAAGAGAGCCCUUUACGGAGGGUUGUUGAAAAAUAGUGAUUUAUGUAACAAGUGCAUAAAAUUAUCUUUUUUUUAUGGGGAAUUCUCUUCAUUUAUUUAUUUAUUUAAUAGACGGGAUCAACCCCAUUAAAAAAAAUAUUACAAAGUUCAAUAGUUACACUUAACCAUAACUUAAAAUAGCUAAAAUACAAAUAUGUUUUUACAGGUUCUUUCGAUAGGGGAGUGAGUGGCAUAGUUGGUACUGUGAAAAGGCAAAGCAAAUAGUCGGUUUCGUCUCAAGAGUCUUGAGGGGACAUUGAAGCUAAUUCUACCGAGAAGGUCGGGGCAUACAAUCAGACGAAUACGUCUUUCUCUCAAUGUUGUCAUAGCCAGCACUUCCCGUGCAUCAUCAUAAACAUGAUCGUUCGGACCAGACAGCUGUUCAUGUAAUAGGAGGACCAUAUCAUUGAGCCAUACUCCAAUAAAGAAACCACCAAAGACAUGUACACUCUCUUACAGGUCUCGACUGAUAGCUCUCUACAUUUACGCAGAACAAAACCCAGAACCCUGGAGGACCUAACCACUACAUUAUGUAUGUGUAUUUUAAAAUUUAAAUAAUCGUUAAAAUAAAU